GGGGUCGUGGCUCAGUUGGUAGAGCAUCUGCCUUGCAUGCAGAAGGUCUCAGGUUCAAUCCCUGGCAUCUCCA